rnacentral:misc_RNA from 1 species
GCGGCUGGAUCCCCUCCUUUACAGAGAAAUUCCCGACUCGCUAUUUAACUUCAAGGAGUCCGCUCUUUGAGCAACUCGCGCGGAGCCGCUGGGCCUAUAGCUCAGUUUCGGUUAGAGCGCACGCCUGAUAAGCGUGAGGUCGAUGGUUCAAGUCCAUCUAGGCCCACCAUCCACCCUUAAACGCGUGGGGGUGUAGCUCAGCUGGGAGAGCACCUGCUUUGCACGCAGGGGGUCAUCGGUUCGAUUCCGUUCACCUCCACCACUUGAGUGGAGGUACGGCGCGUGAGUUCUUUGACAGUUCAAUAGGGAAGGUUUUUCGGAUACACGGAAGAAAAAGAUAGUAAGGGCAAUCGGUGGAUGCCUAGGCGCCAGGAGGCGACGAAGGACGUGGAAGGCUGCGAUAUGCCUCGGUGAGCCGCCAAACAGGCUUUGACCCGAGGAUUU